ACGUAGGGUGCAAGCGUUAAUCGGAAUUACUGGGCGUAAAGCGUGCGCAGGUGGUCGUGCAAGACAGAUGUGAAAUCCCCGGGCUUAACCUGGGAACUGCAUUUGUGACUGCUCGACUCGAGUGCGGCAGAGGGGGAUGGAAUUCCGCGUGUAGCAGUGAAAUGCGUAGAUAUGCGGAGGAACACCGAUGGCGAAGGCAAUCCCCUGGGCCUGCACUGACGCUCAUGCACGAAAGCGUGGGGAGCAAACAGGAUUAGAUACCCUGGUAGUCCACGCCCUAAACGAUGUCAACUGGUUGUUGGGUCUUCACUGACUCAGUAACGAAGCUAACGCGUGAAGUUGACCGCCUGGGGAGUACGGCCGCAAGGUUG
rnacentral:rRNA from 1 species